UAUGGGGUACAGAAGCCUAGGAUAAGGGGGAGGACUUAAGAUCCUCUGGCGUAGGCCUUCGUGGGUUCAAAUCCCACCCCCCGCA
rnacentral:tRNA from 1 species